UACGGGGGGAGCAAGCGUUGUUCGGAUUUACUGGGCGUAAAGGGCGCGUAGGCGGCGUAACAAGUCACUUGUGAAAUCUCCGGGCUUAACCCGGAAAGGUCAGCCGAUACUGCGGGGCUAGAGUGCAGAAGGGGCAACUGGAAUUCUCGGUGUAGCGGUGAAAUGCGUAGAUAUCGAGAGGAACACCUGCGGCGAAGGCGGGUUGCUGGGCUGACACUGACGCUGAGGCGCGAAAGCGUGGGGAGCAAACAGG
rnacentral:rRNA from 1 species